UGUCCCUUAAAUGAGGACUCGUAUGAAAGGCAACACGAGAGAAAACCUGUCUCCUAAGAUUAGCCAAUGAAAUUGAACUGCCAGUACAAAAGCUGGCAUACCAAAGCAAGACAAAAAGACCCUGUGGAACUUAAAUAGCCUGUUUACAAAAACUAAACAAUAAUUUUAGUUGGGACAACUUUAGAAAAAACUAACCUCUAACACCCCCCAAGACCAACAAGUCUAAGGCACGAAGCCGACCCAGUCACACUGAUUAAUGAAAUAAGCUACCCCAGGGAUAACAGCGCCACCUUCUCAAAAAGUCCUUAUUAACAAGAAGAUCUACGACCUCGAUGUUGGAUCGGGGUACCCCGACGGUGCAACCGCUGUCAAAGGUUCGUUUGUUCAACGACUAACACCCCACGUGAUCUGAGUUCAGACCGGA
rnacentral:rRNA from 1 species